GAAUGCAAAGCCCACAUGGAUAGAAAACCAAAAGGCCAUAGCCAACUACAUUGCAAAAUUUCCAACGAGCUUUUUGGAAAUUUAGUGGCAGGAUCCUGCUUGCGGCUCAAUCGUAAGUUCCCUCCCGGCCAUGCAUCAAUUCUCCUUGUCCUCCUUUCGUGGGGAAGAUUUGCGGAGGAUCCUCUUCCCAUUCCGGAUUACAACGCUUCUCAUAAUGCUGCUGGCGGAGCUGGCAUUUGCGGCAACGGGGCCGGCAUUGUUGAACAGAUUAACCAUGUCUGAACAAAGCAAACCGACACAAACACGCAUUAGUCCCAGGAGCCCCAGAUGGAAAGCAUAGAAUGAGCAUUGCUUACCUGAAUACUACUCGCAAAAGGGACCACUAGGGUGAGAAAGCAAGGGUGAGGGAACGAGUGAGGGCU
rnacentral:lncRNA from 1 species